GUGAUCCAGCAGAGCACGUCGCUUCAACCUUACGACACUUCACGACGCGCCUCACACUCACGGGGCCGCACAAAAAGGAGUGCUCUGACGUCCUCUGUUGGCUACAUUGCUGAAUUGAACUGUCCACUCGAUAUCCUCUUGUUCAUCAUAGGCCUGUUCCUGCUUCAUAGACACGUUCUAGGCUAUUACUACAUGGCAACCGGUGGAUAAACUUGGCCGCUCUUGAAUUGUUCUGCAAUGUGUCGGCCUAUCCAGUAAGGAGGAAAUGUUCGCAUGGAUGACAGAUGGUGCUGGCGCGGCUCAGGGAGAGAUGGCAGGCCUUCUGCGCCAGCUUUGUGCCACCUGCACCCCCUCUUCAGCUCCCCGUCUAUCUACACAAUACCCCGACAGGGUGUGGCAUGGUGUGGCGGGCACUGUUGUUGUUUCCCUCUUAGCCACAGCUUCGCUGGAACGGAGGCAAGCUGAUUGCCUCAGUGUCCUACAGAGCCUCUGCACCCCGGCACUAACUGGAGCUCCAUGUGGUACAUCCAUUAUGGUAAAGCUCUCUGUGGCUCCCCGCUGAACACCUCCCUCCUCCUCCUCCUCCCUUUCCAAACCAUGCUUACGUCUGUGUUCCAGAAUUGGGCCCCCUUCCAAUCUGAACAUUAGUUGGAUUCGGUUUGAUGUGAUGGGCUGGGUUGGCGAUGUAUUUGUACUCCUGCAGGGGAGCACAGCAAACAAGGAGGAAUCUUUACCUCGGAUCAACGGCAGGGUCUCUGCACGGAGCCACUUCCAGGUGCCGUCUGGCCAUCCCCAUUGGCCUGACCGGGUCCACCUCUGAGGCUUUUCCCUGUGCGAGAGUUGUCUAGUACAGACAUAUGAACAUUUGGUCGGCAACUCCCAGCUUCCAGUUCAAUACUCGUGUGUUUAUGCCUGACAUUAAUUAGCUUUCUCCCUCUCCAUAAUUAAAUAAUCCUCAUGAAUGGGUAAUUGGAGCCCUCUGCAUGUACAGAGUCUUGUUCAUGCACAAGGACAGGAUGUAAAAUCAUUUCAACAGCAGAAAAAUCAAUAGCAUAAACAGCUGGGCCAACACACGUAUUACAAGGAAUUCUACUAUUUUAUAGUUUUAAGUCAACCCAUACAGGAAAACCGCUAUUUUUAGCACCAAUGUACGGUGCUAUUUCAUUUGACUUUGUCCUUGUUCUUCUUUCUCUCUGCAAAUAGAAGGGGCUUUGCCGCCAAAUCCUUGUAUGGUGCCAAAUCCAGAGGAAUGCAUUCCAUUGUUUAUCUAUGACUUGGGAAAACUAUAUUCUUUUGUUUACAGUAACGUGGUUUGGCUCCAUGCAAAUGCUGACUGUGCUUUUUAAAUGCUGCCAAAUGUUUUAGCGUCUCUCUCUCUCUCGUUCUCUCGCUGUGUGUGUGUGUGUGUGUGUGUGUGUGUGUGUUUGUGUGUGUGUGUGUGUGCGCGCAUCAUGCUUUUCUGUCCAUCUAUUAAUCAGAAUGAAAAGAGAGAGGGCUGACAUAACGAGUUGAAAUAGCAAAGAAAUUAAUAAUUCAGACAUUGAUGACAACAUUAUGUUUAUGGACAUGCCAAUGUGGCAAUGCACAUAGACAGACAGCAGACGGAACUGAGAAAUUUGAGAAAUGUGAAGGGUGGACAUACAUUUUGCAAACAUCUCGGUUAAUUUUGCAUGAACUAAUAGAAAAUGUGGAGGCAUUUAAAUAUUUGAUCACACGGCCAUAUGGAUAGGCUCACUGGGUACGCUCAAUGGGGUUAGCCCACAGUGCACAACCCAGAUAAUCCCAGCUCUCCUCCUCUCCAUAGGGCGCCAUGCACAGCGCACCAGCACAGCCCAACUACCCAUCAGCUCCUCCACCCCCCUGUGAGGGCCCAUUGUGUGCCAAAAGAUUUCCCACACAUCUGAACUCCUGAGAAUCAGCGUUGAGGAGGGACACGGCCAUGGUGACCUCGAUCCCAAAACUCCGUCACAGCUGAUACGAGCGGAACGAGAGGGUUGUCAAACCAGUCAUUUAUGUCAACACUGGAGGGCUAGCUCGGUUCACAGAUAUACACUACUCUUUUGACCAGGUUAUCACAGAAACAUGUUAACCGGGGAGGUAGACACAAACACAAGCAUGUUUUUUUUAUAUCAUUCAAAUAUAUUCACACAAGUGCAUUCAACCACUCCUCACAUCAAUUUCUUGUCUUUUUUAUUUAAUGAAUUAUCUGCUACGUUUGUCCCACCCACUCAGCAUGGAUAAACCUGUGCAUUCCUCAUCCUUCGGAUUUGGAGCGCUAACGAGGCCUAUUUGCCAGCGAGUGACGUUGAGUUGAUCCCUAAAGCUCUCUGCUUGGCACCAAACAUGCCCAAAUGAAGCCCAUGUCAUGCCCACCCCCGCCCUUGCCCCUCUCCUCCCCCUGCCAUGGGAACCAUACAUCUUUAAUGACGACGGAGGGCUUUGCACGCUCUGUGCCACACAAAAGCUGUGGCAUCUGUCUCACUAAGUACUGCACUCAAGAGCACAACCCCCCCUUCCCCCACCCCAACCCAAACCUCC
ensembl:lncRNA